GACGAACGCUGGCGGCGUGCCUAAUACAUGCAAGUCGAACGCACAGUUUAUACCGUAGCUUGCUACACCAUAGACUGUGAGUUGCGAACGGGUGAGUAACGCGUAGGUAACCUGCCUGGUAGCGGGGGAUAACUAUUGGAAACGAUAGCUAAUACCGCAUAAUAUUGAUUAUUGCAUGAUAAUUAAUUGAAAGGUGCAAUUGCACCUCUACCAGAUGGCCCUGCGUUGUAUUAGCUAGUAGGUCAGGUAACGGCUCACCUAAGCGACGAUUCAUAGCCGACCUGAGAGGGUGAUCGGCCACACUGGGACUGGGACACGGCCCAGACUCCUACGGGAGGCAGCAGUAGGGAAUCUUCGGCAAUGGACGAAAGUCUGACCGAGCAACGCCGCGGGAGGGAAGAAGGUUUUCGGAUCGUAAAGCUCUGUUGUAAGAGAAGAACGGGUGUUAGAGUGGAAAGUUCACACUGUGACGGUAUCUUACCAGAAAGGGACGGCUAACUACGUG
rnacentral:rRNA from 1 species